CGAGAAAGCCCGCAAGGGUGAGUAAAGCGGCGCACGGGUGCGUAACACGUGGGUAAUCUGCCCUGGAGUCCGGAAUAACUCGCCGAAAGGCGCGCUAAUGCCGGAUGAGACCACGGGAGCCUCGGCUCCUGCGGGAAAAGGUGGCCUCUGUAUACAAGCUAUCGCUCUAGGAUGAGCCCGCGGCCCACCAGCUCGUUGGCGGGGUAAUGGCCCACCAAGGCUACGACGGGUAGCUGGUCUGAGAGGACGAUCAGCCACACUGGAACUGAGACACGGUCCAGACUCCUACGGGAGGCAGCAGUGGGGAAUCUUGCGCAAUGGGCGAAAGCCUGACGCAGCAACGCCGCGUGUGUGAUGAAGGUCUUCGGAUCGUAAAGCACUGUCGCGAGGGACG
rnacentral:rRNA from 1 species